rnacentral:rRNA from 1 species
UGGGGAAUAUUGCACAAUGGGCGCAAGCCUGAUGCAGCCAUGCCGCGUGUGUGAAGAAGGCCUUCGGGUUGUAAAGCACUUUCAGCGAGGAGGAAGGUGGUGAGCUUAAUACGCUCAUCAAUUGACGUUACUCGCAGAAGAAGCACCGGCUAACUCCGUGCCAGCAGCCGCGGUAAUACGGAGGGUGCAAGCGUUAAUCGGAAUUACUGGGCGUAAAGCGCACGCAGGCGGUUUGUUAAGUCAGAUGUGAAAUCCCCGGGCUCAACCUGGGAACUGCAUUUGAAACUGGCAAGCUAGAGUCUCGUAGAGGGGGGUAGAAUUCCAGGUGUAGCGGUGAAAUGCGUAGAGAUCUGGAGGAAUACCGGUGGCGAAGGCGGCCCCCUGGACGAAGACUGACGCUCAGGUGCGAAAGCGUGGGGCAGCAAACAGGAUUAGAUACCCUGGUAGUCCACGCUGUAAACGAUGUCGAUUUUGGAGGUUGUGCCCUUGAGGCGUGGCUUCCGGAGCUAACGCGUUAAAGUCGACCGCCUGGGGAGUACGG